rnacentral:rRNA from 1 species
UACGGGUGAGUAAUGCAUAGUUGAUCUGCCCCUUGGAGGGGGAUAGCCACUGGAAACGGUGAUUAAUACCCCAUACUCCUAAUACUGUAAAGGUAUUAGGGAAAUGUCUUUUCGCCAAGGGAUGAGACUAUAUGAUAUCAGCUUGUUGGUGGGGUAAUGGCUCACCAAGGCGACGAUCCGUAACUGGUCUGAGAGGAUGAUCAGUCACACUGGAACUGAGACACGGUCCAGACUCCUACGGGAGGCAGCAGUGGGGAAUAUUGGACAAUGGGCGAAAGCCUGAUCCAGCCAUGCCGCGUGUGUGAAGAAGGUCUUCGGAUUGUAAAGCACUUUAAGUUGGGAGGAAGGGUUGUAGAUUAAUACUCUGCAAUUUUGACGUUACCGACAGAAUAAGCACCGGCUAACUCUGUGCCAGCAGCCGCGGUAAUACAGAGGGUGCAAGCGUUAAUCGGAAUUACUGGGCGUAAAGCGCGCGUAGGUGGUUUGUUAAGUUGGAUGUGAAAUCCCCGGGCUCAACCUGGGAACUGCAUUCAAAACUGACUGACUAGAGUAUGGUAGAGGGUGGUGGAAUUUCCUGUGUAGCGGUGAAAUGCGUAGAUAUAGGAAGGAACACCAGUGGCGAAGGCGACCACCUGGACUAAUACUGACACUGAGGUGCGAAAGCGUGGGGAGCAAACAGGAUUAGAUACCCUGGUAGUCCACGCCGUAAACGAUGUCAACUAGCCGUUGGAAGCCUUGAGCUUUUAGUGGCGCAGCUAACGCAUUAAGUUGACCGCCUGGGGAGUACGGCCGCAAGGUUAAAACUUAAAGGAAUUGACGA